rnacentral:pre_miRNA from 1 species
GCCGGGACGAGGAAGAAAGAGAGAGCUCAAGAGCACUGGGAAUGGGAACAUGGAGGGAAGACCUUCUUUUUGUUUGUACCUCUAGUGUGGGGGUGUAGACAUUUCAGAUGGAUCCUUUCCUCAUGCCUCCCAUUCCUACUAUUCUUGUGCACUCCUUUAUCUUCCUUUUGGCU